UACGUAGGGUGCGAGCGUUAAUCGGAAUUACUGGGCGUAAAGCGUGCGCAGGCGGUUUUGUAAGCCAGAUGUGAAAGCCCCGGGCUUAACCUGGGAAUGGCAUUUGGGACUGCAAGGCUGGAGUGUGGCAGAGGAGACUGGAAUUCCUGGUGUAGCAGUGAAAUGCGUAGAUAUCAGGAGGAACACCGAUGGCGAAGGCAGGUCACUGGGCCGCAACUGACGCUGAGGAGCGAAAGCAUGGGGAGCGAACAGG
rnacentral:rRNA from 1 species